rnacentral:rRNA from 1 species
GGCCGCGGGAAUUGGAUUCAGGCCUAACACAUGCAAGUCGAACGGUAACGCGGGGCAACCUGGCGACGAGUGGCGAACGGGUGAGUAAAGCAUCGGAACGUGCCCAAUCGUGGGGGAUAACGUAGAGAAAUUUACGCUAAUACCGCAUGAGAUCUAAGGAUGAAAGCAGGGGAUCGCAAGACCUUGCGCGAUUGGAGCGGCUGAUGUCAGAUUAGGUAGUUGGUGGGGUAAAGGCCUACCAAGCCGACGAUCUGUAGCUGGUUUGAGAGAACGACCAGCCACACUGGGACUGAGACACGGCCCAGACUCCUACGGGAGGCAGCAGUGGGGAAUUUUGGACAAUGGGCGCAAGCCUGAUCCAUCAAAGCCGCGUGCAGGAAGAAGGCCUUCGGGUGUAAACUUAAUGGUACGGAACGAAACGGCUCUGUUAAUACCCGGGGCUAAUGAC